GGAAGUAAAGGUCGUAACAAGGUCUCCGUUGGUGAACCAGCGGAGGGAUCAUUAAAGGGUUCUAUAACUCCCAAACCCAUGUGAACAUACCUUACGUUGCCUCGGCAGGUCGUGCCUACCCCGUAGCGUCCUACCCUGUAGGACCUACCCGGUAGACGCGGGUAAGCCUGCCGGCGGCCCACGAAACUCUGUUUAGUAUUGAAUUCUGAACCUAUAACUAAAUAAGUUAAAACUUUCAACAACGGAUCUCUUGGUUCUG
rnacentral:misc_RNA from 1 species